rnacentral:tRNA from 1 species
GGAAGGGCUGUUUUGUAAAGUGUUGAAAAAUAAACGAUUACGGAUUGAGGGUUCACGCCUGGAAAGCGUGUAUUCCCCUAAAGGGAAUCGGGGGUUCGAAUCCCCCUCUUUCCG